UUUUCAGCACAAAAUAGGAGUUCAAGUCAAUAAUUCCUUAAUAUUUAUGAAAAAAAUACUAGUGGAAAAAUACAUUAUCCCCAUAUUAUGAUUUAUAAUAUACUGUAGGUCUUGUAAACUAGACCAAAAGUACCUGGCAAGGUACUUUGUGUUUACCUUUGUGUUUUAGCAGUAUGAACCAAUUUCAGCUUCUCAAGCUGCUUCUUCUUUAUUUCAGACGGACUCCACAGAACAUGAGGUGAAUUCUCUGCAAAUAAUUUGAAGUCACAUACCACAGAAAAAUCUGCAAACGGGUGAAUCUGCACAUCCUUAGCCAUGAAUAGGUGGAGGUCGCUGUAAGUAUGAAUACUCUGUGCAGAAAGUACUCCUAGAUAAAGAAUUUUGUAUUUGGUUGCGUCUCUUUCCUGGACGGAGUCAUUCACAGAUUUCUUGCUCCCAGUAUCUUUGUCUUUCUCUGUAUUGUGUUUUUUUCCUGAACCAUUCCACUGAUUAGAGGCUAAUGUAACAUUUGUGCACUCUUUAUCCUAGAUAGUAGUCUGGUUCAGUGUUUUUUUCUUCUUCAUAUUUUUCUCUAAAGUUGUUUGAAGUUUUUUACCUGAUGUAGUAUCUGUUUAUUUUUACUCUGUGAAUAGUAGUUUAUUUACAGAACAAAAGCACAUGCUCCUUUUUCCACCUGCCCACUUCAUGUAUAAAUAAACAUCUAAGAUGAUGCCUAAAUUCCUUUGCCCUGCUAGCAGUGCUCUUUUUCUUGCCUAAUUUGGAAAUAAUUUGCCUCACAUGUCAAGCUACGUGUCAGCCUUUUAGAAACACUUUUUCUUUUGUUCAGGUUUCCUGUUUUGUAUCUACUGAGCAAGCAUUCUUCUGUUGGAAACUUGAGAAGCAGGCAAAUGUUGUAUAACUGUUAUGUCUUUUGACACACUUUAUGAAGCAUCUGAAACUUAGAAUUGCACAUCAAGAAAAAGUGAUUUAUUUUAAGUGAACGUCUAACGGAAGCCGUUUUUCUCUUAACCUUAAGCAUGUCUGACCUAGUUAGCCAAGACUCGGAAACGUAUCAACCAUUAAAGCACAUUUUAUACUGCCAUGCACUCGGGUUGCAUAAAAGUAAGAAGAGGAGCAAAACUGAAACUCAACGUAAAUCAGAAUUCAAAACAGCUGUGGCUGUUGAUGUGAACAAACCAGUUCAAGUAGCCCUGGCUGUUGAAUAUUCACUAUAAAUUUAAAUAAUCAGAUAGAGAUGGAAGAGCAAAAAUGGUCACUUCAGAUGAAAUACAGCAACUGCUAGAGAUCAUCAUGUACUUUUCCAUGUCUUGACAAAGAGCGAAGCGGGACUUUGAGUUCAGACCAACCUCAGAUUCACUAUGUCCAUCACAGAUCAAAGAUUUAGAGGCCAAAAGAUAAUAGCUUUUUUCAUUAUGUUCACUUUACAACUCUAUAGUUCAGAAAGGAAAUGCUUAAUUACAUUAAUUGGUCUUUGUGGAAUCACAAGACGAUCACAUUGCGCUAUGUUAUCAAGGUCCUUCAGAAGAAUGCGAUAAAAUUCUGUGAAAUGCCAAAGAAAAUAAUUUUGAAGACUUGGACGGUGUCAGUCUUUCAGCCACCGAUUAUCUCAAAACGCUGCAGAAUGUGGGAUGAAGCAGCUGCACAGUUUGCCACUUGACUGCAACUCAGAGAGAGUUAAAGAGCAAAGAUCUCAGUACAGAACGACCACCUGAAUACGUUCACAUGGAUGAAUCUGGGUCCAGUCUGACCAACAGGAGAGGCUGGAAACUGGUUGGUCGUUGUUGCCAUCCCUGGUAAUGUGACAGUUUUUUGUUGAUUGCUUUGAUUUGCUUAGAGAUCACUGGCGAUCUACUCUGUUUUCAUCAUCUGCUGCUCAGCAGAGCAGAAGACACAUCUUGCAGAUGCGUUUAUUGGUUUUUGACGAAUUUUCCCCCCUCACACGUUUGCAAAGCCAUUAACACAGAUGUCAUUCAAGCAGUCCCAACUCCAUUGUUUUAGCCAUGGUGAUGCUGAGUGGUGCCAAUAAUUUAAGUUGACAGAAAGUGAAAUGAGCCAGAAACGCCACCUAGUUAAACUAGGAAUGAAAAAUAAAUAAAGGCAGAAAUGAGCAGCGUUUCAAAAACCAGCCGGUUAAAAAUGUACAAUAAAUUCACAAAAUAAGUAGAAAAAAAAUGCAGUGGCCUGUGCCUACAUCUUAAAACCAGCGGUAGAGCAGUCUGUAGGAUAAAAAGAUUAAAUAAAGAUAAUCAAGAUCAAUAAAACUCUUCAGGACGAAGGAAAAGCAAAGUCUUAGCUAGAAGCGGGUUGUGGUCCUCUCGGCGUCUGCGCAGCUUUCCUCAGCGGCCUCCAGCGAUCCCCAGCGCUCGGUCCUGCGCCCUCGACAACAAACCUGGAUGACUGCACACCUUCCAGCUGUGCACCAUCCACCAGAGCUGGGUUCUUGGCUCCACGUCUCCCGGAUCAGCUGUGCGUCUCGGCCCCUGCUCAUUUUGCCGCGCCUUUAGUCCUGCUGCUCCGCCAACACCGGUUCGUCGCCGGCUGCUGCUCUUCUUAUUUCCCAAUUUCUGGCUUUCACGCCAACCUGUGGGAGCUCUCAGUGGGCGUGUCAUGGGUGGCAAUCCCAGCCUCAAAGGCAAAUAUGCGCAAAAUGAAUCAGCGAAGUAGCGUGCAACCCCAAAUGAAUGCAAGAUUAAAAUAACACAACACAAUUAAGUUAUUCCAAAAUAUCACAACAAAGCUAAAUAAUCCAAAAAUAAACACAGCAAAUAAAUAUGAACACAUGCAAGUAAAUAAAAAAAAAAGCCACGUGGCCACAGUAACCAGAAAUCCUAACUAUUAGAAACUGUCUAGUUUCUAAUAGAGUUUCUAUUAGAAACUGUCUAGAUUAGUAUGAGUCCAUUGAAGCACAUGAUUCAAAUUCCUUACCACAAGGAUCCGAAAUGCUUUGAUGCGAAUUUUAUUAUUUUAUUUUUUAAACUGUGGAAACUGAAAUACUGUGAAUAAUAAAGGAAAUAUUGUAAAUAUAAAGUGAAAAUCUAUGAGAAUAAGAAAUAUAGAAAAUCAAAAUGAAGUGAUUUUUGUUUGGUUACCGUAGUUAAAGGUGUUUGGAUGACAUCUGUGUUGACUGCUUGCAUUGUGCCAGUGUCAUUGUGUGUCAUUGUGUGGAACAAAGUGAGACUAACUGUGUUGUCCAGGUCAGAGUUGUUCAAUACCAGUCAAGAAUUCCCAUAUGUUUUCCUUCAUCCUUUUCUCUUUCCCAACAGAUGAGUUCCUGUCUUCAUGGCGGUGGAAAGUUUGUGACCUUACAUCAGAGAAAAUCUUUUGUAGGCCUUAGAGUUGGGCUGCAGUGUGAAUACCCAGUGUGGAUUCAGCAUGUGGUGCUUGAUGUAGAGGAGGUCCUGUGGCCCUGCUCCAAUGUGUCAACAUGAUGCUGCAGAGAAGAUACUGUUGGCAGUGCUGAGAAAAGAAGAGUUCAAAAGUCACUAACAUGACCCAGAGCUGCUUCUGGUAACAUCGCAGCUGAAACAGGACGGCUAACUUACACAUUUAUGCAUUUCCCUUCUGAUGCUGACAAAAGCG